rnacentral:lncRNA from 1 species
ACUUCAACAACAAUUCACAAGUAUAAACAACUCUGAAGUAGACCACAGAGCCUAGAGAAAGAAGCGAAGGAAGACAGCUGAGGAGAAAUCCAAAUAACUUGAACAUUUUAACAAUAAUUGCAGGAAUUUACAGCCCUUCUCAGAAAUCAGCAGAGGACGCCAGCCAACCCUGGAAUGCCAGUCUAUUCACACCAUCUCUGGCCUCCCUGUUCCCUGGACUCAGCUAACCUGAUUUAAAUAAGCAAGACCACUGGGCAACCAAUCAGCUGAAGAGGUCAAACAGCUUCUACAUUUACCCCAAUAAAAACUCCUCUGUCUGUGAGCAACGCGGAACACAGUCCUCCGGCCGCCCUGAGUUUCCCUGCUUACAGGUUGAAACUCUUGUAAUAAAUUGAUUUUUCUGCUUUGUUGUACAUGGCGUGCAGAGUUUGGUUUUUGACCAAACAAAUAUUGACUUGAUUUACCAUAGGUCCUCUAUAUGACAAAGCUGAAUAACUGAUAUCACAAUA